rnacentral:tmRNA from 1 species
GGGGGCGUCACGGUUUCGACGGGGAUGCGUGAAGCUGCAUAAGCGUACCGAGGUUCCUGCAGGCCUCGUUAAACAGGCAGGACAAUAUAAUCGCAGACAACUACG